rnacentral:rRNA from 1 species
AGUGAACGCUGGCGGUAGGCCUAACACAUGCAAGUCGAACGGCAGCACAGAGGAGCUUGCUCCUUGGGUGGCGAGUGGCGGACGGGUGAGGAAUACAUCGGAAUCUACUCUGUCGUGGGGGAUAACGUAGGGAAACUUACGCUAAUACCGCAUACGACCUACGGGUGAAAGCAGGGGAUCUUCGGACCUUGCGCGAUUGAAUGAGCCGAUGUCGGAUUAGCUAGUUGGCGGGGUAAAGGCCCACCAAGGCGACGAUCCGUAGCUGGUCUGAGAGGAUGAUCAGCCACACUGGAACUGAGACACGGUCCAGACUCCUACGGGAGGCAGCAGUGGGGAAUAUUGGACAAUGGGCGCAAGCCUGAUCCAGCCAUACCGCGUGGGUGAAGAAGGCCUUCGGGUUGUAAAGCCCUUUUGUUGGGAAAGAAAUCCAUCUGGUUAAUACCCGGGUGGGAUGACGGUACCCAAAGAAUAAGCACCGGCUAACUUCGUGCCAGCAGCCGCCGUAA